UGAACUUAUUUAUUUGGCUUCUUUCCUUACUUAACUUUCAUCUUCCCCCCCCCUUUUUUUUUUUUGCGACCUGCUGCCUCAUUUUCCAUUCAUAAAUGUUGCCUUCAUAUAUUUAAAUUCCUUCAGAAUGCCACUAGUGACAGAUGUUGGAGCAUCUGUUUCCAUGGCAAGGCAACUGCUGGAACUGAACUCUGCUCUGAAAACUAGCCAUACUCCCAGCAUGCCUGUGUUUGGGGUCCUAGAAGUUGGUAGCUUUCCUCAAAGGAUCAUGUACUUCAAGAUCCUGUUAAUUGAUUGAAAAAGGCAUUCCAGAAUAUCCAGUCUGAGUGUAAGAACCCUGUGGACUCUUCUCCCCGGGCACCUCUUCUGUAGGAGCCGAUCUGCCCCAUUGAGGACCUUUCAUCUGCACAAGGGGCCAGGCAUUCUCCCAAGGCCUGGCAGACAGUAUAGGAAGCAGGAUCUGCUCCUGAAGAAGGGGAUGGCUCAAGACAGUGCUGCCGCCCAGACAAUGAGGAAGCCAGCUGGGAUAGCUAGAAACAAAGCACAGCACUUAAAUCUCAGCAUCAAGUGCUUAUCUAUGUCUUCAAUCUGUCACAUUUGGCUCCGACUCCUUUUUCUCAUGCAUCUAUUAGGGGAUGGAAACAAAUGUUUCAUUCAGCAAUAGCUUAGAAUCUCAUGCCCAUUAUAAAGAUAACCAUAAAUAAAUGAAAGCUAGAAGGCCAAAA